rnacentral:rRNA from 1 species
AAAUAGAAGUGAAAAUGUCAGCUUAAGUAGCAUAAAUAUUAGUAAAAUCUAAUACUCCGAAAGCUAAAAGGUCUCCUACGAAAGGAUAUACCACGUAGGGAAAGUCGGGGCCUAAGGUUAGAUUUAAUAUGUAAUUGAUGGAUAACAGGUUAAAAUUCCUAUACCAUAAUAUAUAUUAUAAACAAAUAGUGACCUAUAAUAUUAAGUAUAUUUUUUAAGAUAUAGUUACUUAAAUAUACUUAAUAUAUAGCUGGAAAAAUGUAUAUGUUUUUGUAUAUAUAUUAUGCCCGUACUAAAACUGACACAAGUAAGCAAGUAUAAAUGUACUAAGGAGUACGAAAUAACUUUCUCUAAGGAACUCGGCAAAAUAAUCCUGUAACUUCGGGAAAAAGGAUGCCCAAAGGGCUGCAAUUAAAAGAUCCAAGCGACUGUUUAUCAAA